GAUGAACGCUGGCGGCGUGCCUAAUACAUGCCAGUCGAGCGAACAGACGAGGAGCUUGCUCCUCUGACGUUAGCGGCGGACGGGUGAGUAACACGUGGAUAACCUACCUAUAAGACUGGGAUAACUUCGGGAAACCGGAGCUAAUACCGGAUAACAUGUUGAACCGCAUGGUUCAACAGUGAAAGACGGUUUUGCUGUCACUUAUAGAUGGAUCCGCGUCGCAUUAGCUAGUUGGUAAGGUAACGGCUUACCAAGGCAACGAUGCGUAGCCGACCUGAGAGGGUGAUCGGCCACACUGGAACUGAGACACGGUCCAGACUCCUACGGGAGGCAGCAGUAGGAAAUCUUCCGCAAUGGGCGAAAGCCUGACGGAGCAACGCCGCGUGAGUGAAGAAGGUCUUCGGAUCGUAAAACUCUGUUAUUAGGGAAGAACAAAUGUGUAAGUAACUAUGCACGUCUUGACGGUACCUAAUCAGAAAGCCACGGCUAACUACGUG
rnacentral:rRNA from 1 species